rnacentral:tRNA from 1 species
GCCGGUGUAGCUCAGUUGGCAGAGCGACACAUUCGUAAUGUGUAAGUCAGCGGUUCGAAUCCGCUCACCGGCUCCA